GCGGCAGCCCCGGGGGCAGAGGCAGAGCGGAGAGCCGGCGGCGAAGCCCCAGCAGCACGCGCGGCCAACUGUCCUGGCGGGAUAUGAGACACCCGUCAUAAGCUCCGGAGAGGUGCCUUCCACAGAGACCAGCAGAGGAGUGGGCCAACAUGAAGUCCAGUCCUGCCAUCCAAGCUGCCAUUGACCUCACAGCGGGGGCUGCAGAAGGAACAUGCUUUCUCCUUGGAGGGAACCCACGUAAUGGAGGGAAUCCAUGUAAUCGAAGAGUAAUAUCGUCUUCUAAGAACGGCAGAAGGUAGAGCAGUUCCCUUACAAUAAAACUCUGAGUAUGGGUGCA